rnacentral:rRNA from 1 species
UUAAGUGAAUAAGGGCGCACGGUGGAUGCCUUGGCACUAGGAGCCGAUGAAGGACGGGACUAACACCGAUAUGCUUUGGGGAGCUGUACGUAAGCUAUGAUCCAGAGAUUUCCGAAUGGGGGAACCCAGCAUCUUUAAUAGGAUGUUACGAUUGUGUGAAUACAUAGCACAUUCGAGGUAGACGCAGAGAACUGAAACAUCUAAGUACCUGCAGGAAGAGAAAGAAAAUUCGAUUCCCUGAGUAGCGGCGAGCGAAACGGGAAAAGCCCAAACCAGCAAGCUUGCUUGUUGGGGUUGUAGGACUCCAAUAUGGUAGUUCUUUCAGAUAGUCGAAUGACUUGGAAAAGUCAGUCAAAGAGGGUAAAAACCCCGUAGACGAAAUGUGGAAGACACCUAGGAGGAUCCUGAGUACGGCGGAACACGAGAAAUUCCGUCGGAAUCCGGGAGGACCAUCUCCCAAGGCUAAAUACUCCCUAGUGACCGAUAGUGAACCAGUACCGUGAGGGAAAGGUGAAAAGCACCCCGGAAGGGGAGUGAAAUAGAACCUGAAACCGUGUGCCUACAACAAGUCAAAGCCCGUUAAUGGGUGAUGGCGUGCCUUUUGUAGAAUGAACCGGCGAGUUACGAUUGCAUGCGAGGUUAAGUUGAAGAGACGGAGCCGCAGCGAAAGCGAGUCUGAAUAGGGCGUUUGAGUAUGUAGUCGUAGACCCGAAACCAUGUGAUCUACCCAUGUCCAGGUUGAAGGUGCGGUAAAACGCACUGGAGGACCGAACCCACGUACGUUGAAAAGUGCGGGGAUGAGGUGUGGGUAGCGGAGAAAUUCCAAACGAACUUGGAGAUAGCUGGUUCUCUCCGAAAUAGCUUUAGGGCUAGCCUCGGAAUUGAGAAUGAUGGAGGUAGAGCACUGUUUGGACUAGGGGCCCAUCUCGGGUUACCGAAUUCAGAUAAACUCCGAAUGCCAUUCAUUCAUAUCCGGGAGUCAGACUGUGAGUGAUAAGAUCCAUAGUCGAAAGGGAAACAGCCCAGACCACCAGCUAAGGUCCCAAAAUAUAUGUUAAGUGGAAAAGGAUGUGGGGUUGCACAGACAACUAGGAUGUUGGCUUAGAAGCAGCCAUCAUUUAAAGAGUGCGUAAUAGCUCACUAGUCGAGUGACCCUGCGCCGAAAAUGUACCGGGGCUAAACAUAUUACCGAAGCUGUGGAGUACACCUUUAGGUGUAUUGGUAGGAGAGCGUUCUAAGGGCGUUGAAGGCAGAUCGUGAGGACUGCUGGAGCGCUUAGAAGUGAGAAUGCCGGUAUGAGUAGCGAAAGACAGGUGAGAAUCCUGUCCACCGAAUGACUAAGGUUUCCUGGGGAAGGCUCGUCCGCCCAGGGUUAGUCGGGACCUAAGCCGAGGCCGACAGGCGUAGGCGAUGGAUAACAGGUUGAUAUUCCUGUACCCGUUGUUUUUGUUUGAGCAAUGGAGGGACGCAGGAGGCUAAGGAAUGCAGACGAUCGGAAAUGUCUGUCCAAGCAGUAAGUCUGAAGAGGAGUCAAAUGCUUCUUUUCUUAAGGACAAGCUGUGAUGGGGAGGGAAAUAAUAGUACCGAAGUUCCUGAUGUCACACUGCCGAGAAAAGCUUCUAGUGAGAAAACAGCGGCCCGUACCGCAAACCGACACAGGUAGUCGAGGAGAGAAUCCUAAGGUGAGCGAGAGAACUCUCGUUAAGGAACUCGGCAAAAUGACCCCGUAACUUCGGGAGAAGGGGUGCUGAUCAUACGAUCAGCCGCAGUGAAUAGGCCCAAGCGACUGUUUAUCAAAAACACAGGUCUCUGCAAAAUCGUAAGAUGAAGUAUAGGGGCUGACGCCUGCCCGGUGCUGGAAGGUUAAGAGGAGUGCUUAGCGCAAGCGAAGGUACGAAUUGAAGCCCCAGUAAACGGCGGCCGUAACUAUAACGGUCCUAAGGUAGCGAAAUUCCUUGUCGGGUAAGUUCCGACCCGCACGAAAGGCGUAACGAUUUGGGCACUGUCUCAACGAGAGACUCGGUGAAAUUUUAGUACCUGUGAAGAUGCAGGUUACCCGCGACAGGACGGAAAGACCCCAUGGAGCUUUACUGUAGUUUGAUAUUGAGUGUCUGUACCGCAUGUACAGGAUAGGUAGGAGCCGUAGAAAUCGGAACGCUAGUUUCGAUGGAGGCGCUGGUGGGAUACUACCCCUGCGUUAUGGCCACUCUAACCCGCACCACUAAUCGUGGUGGGAGACAGUGUCAGAUGGGCAGUUUGACUGGGGCGGUCGCCUCCUAAAAGGUAACGGAGGCGCCCAAAGGUUCCCUCAGAAUGGUUGGAAAUCAUUCGAAGAGUGUAAAGGCAGAAGGGAGCUUGACUGCGAGACCAACAAGUCGAGCAGGGACGAAAGUCGGGCUUAGUGAUCCGGUGGUUCCGCAUGGAAGGGCCAUCGCUCAACGGAUAAAAGCUACCCUGGGGAUAACAGGCUUAUCUCCCCCAAGAGUCCACAUCGACGGGGAGGUUUGGCACCUCGAUGUCGGCUCGUCGCAUCCUGGGGCUGUAGUCGGUCCCAAGGGUUGGGCUGUUCGCCCAUUAAAGCGGCACGCGAGCUGGGUUCAGAACGUCGUGAGACAGUUCGGUCCCUAUCCGUCGCGGGCGUUGGAAAUUUGAGAGGAGCUGUCCUUAGUACGAGAGGACCGGGAUGGACUUACCGCUGGUGUACCAGUUGUUCUGCCAAGGGCAUUGCUGGGUAGCUAUGUAGGGAAGGGAUAAACGCUGAAAGCAUCUAAGUGUGAAGCCCACCUCAAGAUGAGAUUUCCCAUUUCUUUAAGAAAGUAAGAUCCCUGAGAGAU